rnacentral:rRNA from 1 species
UACGUAGGGGGCAAGCGUUGUCCGGAUUUAUUGGGCGUAAAGAGCGUGUAGGCGGCUUUGCAGGUCCGCUGUGAAAACUCGAGGCUCAACCUCGAGCUGUCGGUGGAAACCGUGAAGCUAGAGUCCGGAAGAGGAGAGUGGAAUUCCCGGUGUAGCGGUGAAAUGCGCAGAUAUCGGGAAGAACACCCGUGGCGAAGGCGGCUCUCUGGGACGGUACUGACGCUGAGACGCGAAAGCGUGGGGAGCGAACAGG